AUAUUAUUUUCACAUUUUGUAUCUCCAAGAAGCAUAAGCAAUACCAAGUAAUAUCAUCUCCUAAACAGCUGCGGAUCUUUUCAUAAAUGUCACUGAAUUUAUUUUUGCAUUUUACAGAACUGAAAAUUAGCUAGUGUGGUGUAAGUAAUAUUCCUGUAAAUUUCCAAUCCUGAUUUUGUAAUAAACAGACAAAAGAAAGAGUUCAUUCAGCACUUCUGUAUGUUCUGAGUACUUGAUGGCUUUGCUAUAAAUAAUUAUGACUUGAUUUCUCUUUGUGGGGACUUCCAUACUUUUUCUGUGUAAGUUCCACUGUGAGGACCCAUUCUUUUGUUUGCUAUAGCAGUGUUCCUUCUGGUCAUCAAAUCUGUGACAUUUCUUUUUGCCUUUUGACAAUGAAAGACUUAACUGUCCUCUUUUAGGCUGAGGAUGUGAUGCAGGAGUUGCAACUGUGUAAUUUUUUUGUAACUCCAAUUAAUUUGAUUAAAGAUUAUGUGCCUGUUUGAUGAGGAGUGACUCAUCUGUGUGUUACUUUCAGGCUACCUUGCUCUUGAGUUCUUCACUGCCAAAAGCUCACACUUUUGGGGACAGUAACAAGUAGCUAAAUUCUUGCUGGAUGAACAGAGCUCAGAUAAUGCCCUUUACAAUAAAAAAAUCUUUGCUGCUGCAGUUAUUUCUGUCCCACUCACUUUAUAAGAAGAUGAUAGAGCCUUCCGGUUGGGUUUCUACUUGACACAAACCAAGCAAAAGGGAACAAAAAGGAUACAAAUAACUUCUGAAGUUUCCUUGCCAGAGAUACAUGGAAUAUUGAAAUAUUCUCUUAUUAUCCAUCCUUUUUGCAAGUCACAUACAAAUGCAAAUACCCAAAGAAGUACAUUUGAAAAGAAGAUAUUUUUUUGUGUUUCAAAACACAGAGCUAAAACACACAUACAUAUCUGUGGUUUAUGGGUACUUAAUUUAUCAAUUUUGACUUCAUAUUGCUAUUGCUUUCAAAUGGGUAUUAAUAUUCCAUUGAAAUUUUAACUCUGCACCAUUUUUUUUUUCAGUUACUGCUGUACCUCUAUUGCAGAAAGUAUUUUCUUACGAUUUUUUACAUUCUGUAACUAUAUUAUAUUGUAUAACACAUAUCCCUUCUUCAC
rnacentral:lncRNA from 1 species